GGGGGCGAACAGGGUUCGACCGGAUUUGCGAAGCGUAAAUGGCGUGUCGUGGUUGAUCAGCGGGCCACGUAAAAAGCUGAUCACACCUUCAAUUGCCGAAGGUAACUACGCUUUGGCUGCCUAGUUUAACUAGCAGUCUGGGCCUCUAGCCGUCGUUGGGUCGGUUAGAACGCCCAUCACCUAAACCAACUAGCUGCGAGUCAUUGCUGGGCACGCUCAAGGCGAAAUUAAGUUCCGAGCUAGCGCGAGAAAAGCCUGGUCGACGAGGCGCUUCUCUCCGCGAACCUAAAUUCGACGACUACACACGUAGAUGUUUGCGUCCAGCGGUCUCGGCACGCGGGUUCGAUUCCCGCCGCCUCCAC
rnacentral:tmRNA from 1 species